rnacentral:lncRNA from 1 species
AGGAUUUCCAUGGGUUCUAAUCAUGAAGCUAAUAAAGGGCUAGCAAUUCUCAAUUCUGAACUAGUGUUCCACAGGACAGUCCAUGUACUCAUGCGUUCAGGAAUGAAGAGGGACACUGAAGCUAAUGGGUUCCCAUGCUCAUGUACAGGAGGAGAUGUUCAAGGGGAUUGUUCAAUAACAUGGUCAUGGAAGACAGAGGACUCAAGAGAAGAUGACUUCUUAACAGAGAUAAAUAUUGUUUUCAACAAGUGAAUUAAAACUGUGAAGCACAAACAUCCAAAACAAUCACUAUUACCAAAAUAAAAGAGAUAAAGUAAACAAGCAGAGA